GCCCGGACGCCGCUCCUCCCUCACCAACGGUUCCUGGGCCUCUCUUUUCCACACAGAGGGUGGUUGGUGUAUGGAACGAGCUGCUGGAGGAGCUGGUUGAGACUGGGACUAUAACAACACUUGGACCGGUACAUGGAGAGGAGAGGUUUGGAGGGAUAUCGGCCAAACGUGGGCAGCUACGUGGGAUUCGUGUGGAUGUGGCAUGUAGGCCAGUGUGGCGCGCUCUCUCUCUCUCUGGAUUUGGACGAGCGUAGACUGCGGGUUGGCAGGGGGGAAAUGGGCCGAAAGGCCUGUUUUGGCCGCUCCGGGCUCCCCACAUCCACGUCGUUGUCCCGCAAGGUCGGCUUGUAAAUGAAAAAUCAUCUUCUAAAGCCUCGAACGCCGACAACAGGACGGAUGUCACAUAGGGGACAAGGCAAGGUAAUCCAAGUAUGAAAAUGGCCAUAACGUUUUUAAUACUGAAGAUAUGAAAGUGAAUUAGGUGUCAAAUUAAACAUCUUUUUAUGCUUUAUCUGAUGGGAUAAAUUGCAGACGAUUUUUAAAAUCUCAAAAUUUCGUAACAUUGCUAAUCAAAACUGCUAAAAAAAACAAAGCUGCUCAAUAAACCCUCAACAACCCUCAAAAUAGCUAAAAAAAACCUAAAAACUUCUCAAU